rnacentral:misc_RNA from 1 species
GUGAAUCAUCGAAUCUUUGAACGCAAAUUGCACUCUUUUCGGAGAGUAUGCCUGUUUGAGGGUCAGUAUUAAUAAAAUCGGUGUUGCUUUUUUGUGACGUUCCGGAGAUUGGGCUACCUUUAACUUUCGGGUUUAAGAGGCUUAAAAUUGAUCUUUUUUGCGCACUUUUAGACGUACAUAAAUUUUUUUAUCGUCUAUUCUGGUGGCAAUUUACUUAUUAGGUGCGAUCAUAUAAUGAUCUCGUGCUCAUAAUUUCUCAUCUUUUGACCUCACAUCAGGUAAUGACACCCGCUGAACUUAA